rnacentral:rRNA from 1 species
AUCCGUAGGGGGCAAGCGUUAUCCGGAUUUACUGGGUGUAAAGGGAGCGUAGACGGCGAAGCAAGUCUGAAGUGAAAGGACGGGGCCCAACCCCGGAACUGCUUUGGAGACUGUUUGGCUGGAGUGCGGGAGGGGUAAGCGGAAUUCCUAGUGUAGCGGUGAAAUGCGUAGAUAUUAGGAGGAACACCGGUGGCGAAGGCGGCUUACUGGACCGUAACUGACGUUGAGGCUCGAAGGCGUGGGGAGCAAACAGGAUUAGAUACCCUGGUAGUCCACGCGGUAAACGAUGAUCACUAGGUGUCCGUGGGUAUGACCCAUGGGUGCCGCAGCCAACGCAAUAAGUGAUCCACCUGGGGAGUACGUUCGCAAGAAUGAAACUCAAAGGAAUUGACGGGG